GACGGAGGAUGCAAGCGUUAUCCGGAAUGAUUGGGCGUAAAGCGUCCGCAGGUGGCAGUUCAAGUCUGCUGUCAAAGACCGGGGCUUAACUUCGGAAAGGCAGUGGAAACUGAACAGCUAGAGUAUGGUAGGGGCAGAGGGAAUUCCUGGUGUAGCGGUGAAAUGCGUAGAGAUCAGGAAGAACAUCGGUGGCGAAGGCGCUCUGCUGGACCAUAACUGACACUCAGGGGCGAAAGCUAGGGGAGCGAACAGG
rnacentral:rRNA from 1 species